AACUCAGUCAGGGUGAAUUCUCACUGAAUAAACACCACUAACCUUCUCAGAUGCUGGGAAGUUGCACUGGCCCUGUGGAUUGAUCCUGACGGCUCCAUCUGGAGGAUCCAGAUCACUUGGUGACUGAUCCUAAUCUUGCUGUCGCUAGGCAGGACAAGAGUUAGCGGGGAAGUUGUCCAGAGAUUAGAAGCCAACAGGAGUAUCCGACAGUGGCAAAGGCAGGCAGGAGCAAAACAGGAAUGAGACAGGUCAAUAACAGGAGAUCAAUACAAGGAACGCUGGAAGGUCUACUCACCCUAUGGCUUUCAAGAAUCUGGCGGUUACAAACUGGGAGUGUCAUGAAUAUAUAGUGCUCCUCCCAGGUGUAACCACUCAGCUCUGAUUGCCAGAGCAGCACAGGGAGCAGGAAGUGAUGUCCUGGGACUGCACACAGCAGCUACUCAGGAAUCAUUACACUUUUAUUUAGAUUGGAAAAUCAAAAUUUACAAUCUCCUAUUAAAUUAACAACUUGGUUUAAUCUACAAAUAAAAAAAAAAUGGAUUUUCAACUCAUUGUGCUCAGUGACCAAGCUAACUAUUAAGAUCACUAGAAUGUAUUUUUCACCAUUUUCACACAUUUGAACAUAACAUGUUUGAUGGUUGACUCAUUAAAUAAAGCAGACAUCUUCAAAAGAUAAAAAUAAAU